AGAGGGAACCGCCACGGGCGAAAGGGGACGCGGUCCCCAUUCCGCUACCUGGACGCGGAACCGCUCAAAAAAUGUCGUGGCCCUCGCUGUCCUCAGUGAAGGCUUCGUCGGGGUAACCCGAAAGGACCCGGAGAAGCUGAGGGGAGCUCCGGGGAGAGUUAUCUUUUCUGUAUCAGCGUUGUAGCUGCCUGGAAUCCUCUAGCAGGGAGAUAGGGAGCCGAACGCGGAGAGCACCGCAGUUGCUGCGGUGUCCGGAGCCUCCCCCUCGGACCGUGAAAAUCCGGGAGAGGGCCACGCGAAGUCUCGCGCCAGGUCGUACUCAUAUCCGCAUCAGGUCUCCGAGGUGAAGAGCCUCUAGUCGUAUAGACUAAUGUAGGUAAGGGAAGUCGGCAAAAUCGAUCCGUAACUUCGGGAUAAGGAUUGGCUCUGAGGAACGUGGCCCGUCGGGCUUGGUCGGGAAGCGGGUUAGCGCUUACGUGCCGGGCCUGUGCGAGGUGAACUCCGGUCACCGCGUCCGGUCGGAUGGAUCCGAGCACGGUCCCGUGCCUAGGCACCCCGCGGAUCUUCCUCGCUAUGAGGCCCAGGACCCGAGCACGGAGCCGUUGGCCUCACGGUCAACGUCCGUGUCGGCCUGGAAUCCUCUUCGGCGGCCAUGUAACGGUCAGCUCAGAACUGGCACGGACAAGGGAAAUCCGACUGUCUAAUUAAAACAAAGCAUCGCGAUGGCCCCAAAGGGUGCCUGACGCGAUGUGAUUUCUGCCCAGUGCUCUGAAUGUCAACGUGAAGAAAUUCAAGCAAGCGCGGGUAAACGGCAGGAGUAACUAUGACUCUUUUAAGGUAGCCAAAUGCCUCGCCAUCUAAUUAGUGGCGCGCAUGAAUGGAUUAACGAGAUUUCCUAUCUGUCCCUAUCUACUAUCUAGCGAAACCACAGCCAGGGGAACGGUCCUGGAAAAAUUAGCGGGGAAAGAAGACCCUGUUGAGCUUGACUCCAGUCUGGCCCUGUACGGAGACAUGAGAGGUGUAGCAUAGGUGGGAGACGGAGUGGCGGUCCAGUCGCGUGUCCGUCGCCAGUGAAAUACCACUACUCUCAUCGUUUCCUUACUUACUCGAUGAAGCGGAGCGCGCUGUCCGCCCCCGGGUCGGCCGUACACGUCCUUCGGCCAUGCCGACCAAACACGGUAUUCUUGAGCCAAGCGCAAGCGGGUCGUUGGUCAGGCUCGCGUUC
rnacentral:rRNA from 1 species